rnacentral:lncRNA from 10 species
CUGUUGCAAUUUCCAGCCUGAUAAAAGUGUCAUUACAGACCUGAGGCUUGGGGCCAGGCAAGAUUGUUUAUGCCAACAAUUGGAUUAUGACGAGUGUCUGUUUUUAUUCUUCUGGGACCCUGGGCCACGCUGUGUCAGUUGAACCUCUGGAGGAGGGGUUGGAGACUCAAGUGUUAAGGCAAAGAAAGAAGGAGAAGUCGGCUUCUGCCACCAGGAAGAGGGCCCUCACCAGCACCCUGCGGGCAUCUUGAUCUCAGACUUCCAGCCUCCAGAGCCAUGAGAAAUGAACUGUUGUAGUUUCAGCGACGCAGUCCAUCAAACUUUAUUACGGCAGCCUGAACAGGGUAAGGUAGGAAGUAAAUGGGAAACAAAAUAAAAAGGGGAGAGUGCCUGAGGUGUCAUCAGAAGCCCAGCUUGAGGGGCUCUGAGGUAUGCAGGGGCUUUUCAUAGUUGUCAAUGAUGUGUGUGUGUGUGCACAUGUGAGUGUGUGUGUGUGCGC